rnacentral:lncRNA from 1 species
CCAUGUUGCUACUUUCUGACGUUUUUCCUUAAAAAGAGAAAAGAAAAUAUUUUUUCUAUUUAAGAUAAUUGGUGUCAUGACUCGUCGAAAUAGCAUGGAGAUCUAUAUCUGAAAAUAUGAAUUAAGAAAGAGAGCAAAAGUAUAAUAACAAGACCAUUUAAGCAAAAAAGUUACUACUAUGAAAAUAUAACAUUGAAAAUUAAGUGAUGGUUCGUGUUUUUCACCGAUUUCAAGACUCUAGACUACCCUUUCUAUUUCUAUUCUCUUCAAUGAUGAUGAAUUAUGUUGAAUAUCCUAAAAUAUAUGGGUAAAAUGUUGGCUUUUUUCAUUCUUUAAACCUUUUUUUUGAAAAUUAAAAAAAAUGGCAAUUAAUAAAAAUAGCUGAUUUUACUGAAAAAAGUUAAUUUUUCUUCCAUCCUCCAUUAGGUAUCAUUACCUCCUUGACCAGAAUUCCUGCAUCAAUCCUUUUAAAGAGAAAGCAUAGAAUCCAUAUUGAAUGUUUUUGGUGCACCAACUAAUUGUUCUUCUUUGUGUAUAUCAUUUAUAUGCUAGAAUCUUGAUUUCUCAUGUUUGGUUGUAAUGCUGGAUUUUUCUGGUCUUGGUUUUUGACUUCCUAAAUUUUGUUGGGUUUCCUUUAGAUUUUCUCUUUUUUAGAUUUUCUUUUUUUACCUUGUAAGAUACGUUAAGACAUAUUCGAAUGUGAUACAAUUUCUCUUCUUUAUAAAAUUGUUAUGUUACUGGACGUUUAAUUAUGGGGUGAUAUUGAAGAAAGAACCUAUAUAUAUAUAUAUGGAAAAAUUUUGGAUAUUUAUAAAUAGAAGACCUCCUUCUCAUACCAUAACACAAUUGCAUCCACAAUGUAGUCGUUUAAAGAGUUUUGUUUAGGGGGAGAUUUUCUCUCUAAUAGUUUUAUGUUUUCUUUUAUAUUAGGUUUUUAUAUGUAGGCCAAUUGACCAAACCAUAUAAUCAUCAUGUUUUUAGUAUGUUUUUCUUUUUGUCUAAUUUACUGUCUAAAUAGUUUGCAACUAAUAGCUUCCGCAUGACGCCCUCUCGAUUUUGAACCCAACACUUUCAAUUUUAUUUUUGAUUUUCAUAAUCUCCAUUCACUAAUUCAGGUACUUUAAUUAUUUUUAGAGUUAAAAAUUUAAAAUAUGAUUUUGAAUUUGAAUUUUAUAUGAUAUUUAUCUAUUUCUUAUCCAUUACAAUUGCUAUAAAAAAAUAUCAGAGUUAGCUCGACUGUGCAAAAAUUUGACUGCUUAUUUGGUAUUGUUGUUCUUGUGAAUGCCUAUAUGAUGAUAACAAACUUAUUUAGGAUUCCAUGCACUUGUUAUCCCCUUCCAGCAAGUCAACAAUUCACCUAAGUUUAACCAAUUAAAUUAUUUCUAUAAUUUUUUUUACUAUUAGGAUGCAACUAACCAUAAAAAGAAGAGACAAUAAAGUAGCUGAAAAAGAAACAUUAUAUGUCAAUCAUGUUUUGCAUCUCUUUUCAGUGAUGAUUAUGUUCUUUGAUGAAGAAAACUAACUCAUACUUACAAAAGUUUUUUUCUCCAAUUUUCUAUUGUCAAUCUUUUAUUUUUUUUCUCCGUUGUUACUGCUUCUGUGGACGAGCUUUCUUUUCUAUGAACUACGUACAUCAAAAAUGAACUUCGCAACAGCAUGGAUGAUGAAUUUUUAAAUGGUUAUUUAGUUUGCUAUGUAGAGCGUAAAAUAUUUGCAGCUGUAAGUAAUUAUGUUAUUAUUCAUCGUUUUGAAAAUAUAAAAAAUCAUAGAGCAUAAUUGUGAUUAAAAGUCUUUUUUCUAAAUUCAAACUUAUGACGUGAAGUCUACUUUGUAUGAAACUUGUGACUGGAAACCUUUUUUGGCAAUGAUAAUAUUAAUUGUACUUUUAUUUUAAUGUUGCAUUUAAAUAGUUAUAUAUUUAUACUAUAUCAUCAUUAGCAAAUUAUGUUUAAAAAAAAUAAAGUAUUUACAACCUUUAAAUCUGGGUCCGCCGGUAAUUCCACGUGGCAAAGGAAAAGUCAUUUGAGUCUCAUCCCUUACUGGAGUGCACGUCAGAAUUGAAAUCUCCAUGUUGCUACUUUCUGACGUUUUUCCUUAAAAAGAGAAAAGAAAAUAUUUUUUCUAUUUAAGAUAAUUGGUGUCAUGACUCGUCGAAAUAGCAUGGAGAUCUAUAUCUGAAAAUAUGAAUUAAGAAAGAGAGCAAAAGUAUAAUAACAAGACCAUUUAAGCAAAAAAGUUACUACUAUGAAAAUAUAACAUUGAAAAUUAAGUGAUGGUUCGUGUUUUUCACCGAUUUCAAGACUCUAGACUACCCUUUCUAUUUCUAUUCUCUUCAAUGAUGAUGAAUUAUGUUGAAUAUCCUAAAAUAUAUGGGUAAAAUGUUGGCUUUUUUCAUUCUUUAAACCUUUUUUUUGAAAAUUAAAAAAAAUGGCAAUUAAUAAAAAUAGCUGAUUUUACUGAAAAAAGUUAAUUUUUCUUCCAUCCUCCAUUAGGUAUCAUUACCUCCUUGACCAGAAUUCCUGCAUCAAUCCUUUUAAAGAGAAAGCAUAGAAUCCAUAUUGAAUGUUUUUGGUGCACCAACUAAUUGUUCUUCUUUGUGUAUAUCAUUUAUAUGCUAGAAUCUUGAUUUCUCAUGUUUGGUUGUAAUGCUGGAUUUUUCUGGUCUUGGUUUUUGACUUCCUAAAUUUUGUUGGGUUUCCUUUAGAUUUUCUCUUUUUUAGAUUUUCUUUUUUUACCUUGUAAGAUACGUUAAGACAUAUUCGAAUGUGAUACAAUUUCUCUUCUUUAUAAAAUUGUUAUGUUACUGGACGUUUAAUUAUGGGGUGAUAUUGAAGAAAGAACCUAUAUAUAU